UUUUGGUUAAGUUAAUAAGGGCGCACGGUGGAUGCCUUGGCACUAGGAGUCGAUGAAGGACGGCACUAACACCGAUAUGCCUCGGGGAGCUGUAAGUAAGCUUUGAUCCGGGGAUUUCCGAAUGGGGGAACCCACUAUCUUUAAUCGGAUAGUAUCUUCACGUGAAUUCAUAGCGUGUUGAAGACAGACGCAGGGAACUGAAACAUCUAAGUACCUGCAGGAACAGAAAGAAAAUUCGAUUCCCUGAGUAGCGGCGAGCGAAACGGGAAGAGCCCAAACCAAAGAGCUUGCUCUUUGGGGUUGUAGGACACUCUAUACGGAGUUACAAAAGAAUGAAUUAGACGAAGCGACUUGGAAAGGUCCGCGAAACAAGGUAAAAGCCCUGUAGUCAAAAGUUCAUUCCCUCCAGAGUGGAUCCUGAGUACGGCGGAACACGUGAAAUUCCGUCGGAAUCCGGGAGGACCAUCUCCCAAGGCUAAAUACUACCUAGUGACCGAUAGUGAACCAGUACCGUGAGGGAAAGGUGAAAAGCACCCCGGAAGGGGA
rnacentral:rRNA from 1 species